rnacentral:rRNA from 1 species
CAUGCAAGUCGAACGGUAACAUUUCUAGCUUGCUAGAAGAUGACGAGUGGCGGACGGGUGAGUAAUACUUAUGAAUAUGCCUUUGUGUGGGGGAUAACUAUUGGAAACGAUAGCUAAUACCGCAUAACGUCUUCGGACCAAAGGGGGCUUCGGCUCCCGCGCAAAGAGUAGCCUAAGCGAGAUUAGCUUGUUGGUGAGGUAAAGGCUCACCAAGGCGACGAUCUCUAGCUGUUCUGAGAGGAAGAUCAGCCACACUGGAACUGAGACACGGUCCAGACUCCUACGGGAGGCAGCAGUGGGGAAUAUUGCACAAUGGGGGAAACCCUGAUGCAGCCAUGCCGCGUGUGUGAAGAAGGCCUUCGGGUUGUAAAGCACUUUCAGUUGUGAGGAAAGGUUAGUGGUUAAUACCCAUUAGCUGUGACGUUAGCAACAGAAGAAGGACCGGCUAACUCCGUGCCAGCAGCCGCGGUAAUACGGAGGGUCCGAGCGUUAAUCGGAAUUACUGGGCGUAAAGCGCACGCAGGCGGUUUGUUAAGCUAGAUGUGAAAGCCCUGGGCUCAACCUGGGAAUUGCAUUUAGAACUGGCAGGCUAGAGUUUUGGAGAGGGGAGUGGAAUUCCAGGUGUAGCGGUGAAAUGCGUAGAUAUCUGGAGGAACAUCAGUGGCGAAGGCGACUCCCUGGUCAGUAACUGACGCUCAUGUGCGAAAGUGUGGGUAGCGAACAGGAUUAGAUACCCUGGUAGUCCACACCGUAAACGCUGUCUACUAGCUGUUUGUGGAUUUAAUCCGUGAGUAGCGAAGCUAACGCGAUAAGUAGACCGCCUGGGGAGUACGGCCGCAAGGUUAAAACUCAAAUGAAUUGACGGGGGCCCGCACAAGCGGUGGAGCAUGUGGUUUAAUUCGAUGCAACGCGAAGAACCUUACCUACUCUUGACAUAC